rnacentral:rRNA from 1 species
AUUGAACGCUGGCGGCAUGCCUUACACAUGCAAGUCGAACGGCAGCGGGCCUUCGGGUGCCGGCGAGUGGCGAACGGGUGAGUAAUGCAUCGGAACGUGCCAUUGAGUGGGGGAUAACGUAGCGAAAGUUACGCUAAUACCGCAUAUUCUGUGAGCAGGAAAGCAGGGGACCGCAAGGCCUUGCGCUCUUUGAGCGGCCGAUGUCAGAUUAGCUAGUUGGUGGGGUAAAGGCUUACCAAGGCGACGAUCUGUAGCGGGUCUGAGAGGAUGAUCCGCCACACUGGAACUGAGACACGGUCCAGACUCCUACGGGAGGCAGCAGUGGGGAAUUUUGGACAAUGGGCGCAAGCCUGAUCCAGCCAUGCCGCGUGAGUGAAGAAGGCCUCGG